rnacentral:rRNA from 1 species
GAUCCUGGUUCAGGAUGAACGCUGGCGGCGUGCUUAACACAUGCAAGUCGAGCGAAGCACUUUACUUGGAUUUCUUCGGAAUGACGAGUAUUGUGACUGAGCGGCGGACGGGUGAGGUAACGCGUGGGUAACCGUGCCUCAUACAGGGGAUAACAGUUAGAAAUGACUGCUAAUACCGCAUAAGACCACAGCACCGCAUGGUGCAGGGGUAAAAACUCCGGUGGUAUGAGAUGGACCCGCGU